rnacentral:rRNA from 1 species
UACGUAGGUGGCAAGCGUUAUCCGGAUUUAUUGGGCGUAAAGGGAACGCAGGCGGUCUUUUAAGUCUGAUGUGAAAGCCUUCGGCUUAACCGGAGUAGUGCAUUGGAAACUGGGAGACUUGAGUGCAGAAGAGGAGAGUGGAACUCCAUGUGUAGCGGCGAAAUGCGUAGAUAUAUGGAAGAACACCAGUGGCGAAAGCGGCUCUCUGGUCUGUAACUGACGCUGAGGGUCGAAAGCGUGGGUAGCAAACAGG